rnacentral:rRNA from 1 species
UAGGGAAUCUUCCACAAUGGGCGAAAGCCUGAUGGAGCAACGCCGCGUGUGGGAUGAAGGGUUUCGGCUCGUAAAACNCUGUUGUAAGAGAAGAAUGACAUUGAGAGUAACUGUUCAAUGUGUGACGGUAUCUUACCAGAAAGGAACGGCUAAAUACGUGCCAG